rnacentral:rRNA from 1 species
AAUGAAACGCUGGCGGCAGGCCUACACAUGCAAGUCGAACAGGUAACAGGAAGCAGCUUGCUGCUUCGCUGACGAGUGGCGGACGGGUGAGUAAUGUCUGGGAAACUGCCUGAUGGAGGGGGAUAACUACUGGAAACGGUAGCUAAUACCGCAUAACGUCGCAAGACCAAAGAGGGGGACCUUCGGGCCUCUUGCCAUCGGAUGUGCCCAGAUGGGAUUAGCUAGUAGGUGGGGUAACGGCUCACCUAGGCGACGAUCCCUAGCUGGUCUGAGAGGAUGACCAGCCACACUGGAACUGAGACACGGUCCAGACUCCUACGGGAGGCAGCAGUGGGGAAUAUUGCACAAUGGGCGCAAGCCUGAUGCAGCCAUGCCGCGUGUAUGAAGAAGGCCUUCGGGUUGUAAAGUACUUUCAGCGGGGAGGAAGGCGAUGAGGUUAAUAACCUUGUCAAUUGACGUUACCCGCAAAAAAACACCGGCUAACUCCGUGCCAGCCGCCGGCGGAAAG